CUUCAUUUAUUUUUUCUUGUUCAAUCAAAAUAGAAAUGUGAGGAAGGUGAAAGCUAUUGGUGGUGUUAAUCGUUAACACUUUUAUAUUUUAUUUGUCUCUCAAAAACGUUAUUGGUUGGUGGACAAAAAAAGAAAUUAGUAAGAUGAAGAGAGUAAAUUUACAUUGAAAUCGAGGGAUAAUGGAUCCUCCAUAAUGGAAAAGGAAAAUCAAAACAACAAAUAAAAAGAGAAAGCAUUGAUGGAGCAAAUAUUCCAAUCCCUUUGCAUAUUUAUUUGGGAAACUCCUUAUAGAGGCCAUGUUCUUUACGUUAAAUGGAAGUUAUGAUAUUUCUCGAGAGAACCACAUCACAAAAGUUAGUUGUUGUACUUGAAGAGCCCAAGGCCUAAUGAAACCCAUAUUAUAAUUGCAAUUGGAUCCUAAUUUGCCAACAUGCUCUACACCUCAAUCGCCCAUACGGGCUAGUUGUACGCAUACCCAUUUGACUAGUUUUGGAUGAAAAUGGCACCAACAUUACUCAUUGUAGUUGAGAGGUCAUGUGCUUUAUGCUAAAUAGAAAUUAUGAUAACCUUGAGAGAACCACACCACAAAAGCUAGCUACUGUGGUUGAGGAGCCCAAGGCCUUAUAAACCCAACACUAGAAUUGCAAUUGGAUCCUAACAUUCCACUACGCUUUGAGUCCUAGUGCCCACACAGGCUAGCUGUGUACUAACCGUUUUACUAGUCUUCUUGGACGAACUUUGCAAUGCCAACACCAUUACCGAUGUUGCUCAUUUGCAGUUGAGGGACAUGGUGGAAUGCUCUAAUACUAAUUGGUAGAACUAGAACUGGUAUCAUAACAGUGAGAAAGUCUUUUAUUUAUUUAUUUAUUUAUUUUAAUGAAACUAGGGAUAAUCCCCAAGGAAGCUAUGCGCUAUACACAAUUCCAGAUAUUUUAAGAGGUGUGGAUCCACUCCUCAUGCAGCUUUCAUAAUCACCAAAAUUCCCUUAAACUGUUUAGAGUUAUUCCUAUGUUAUAUAGAAAACUACUAGUGUAUAGUUUGUAACCGAAACCCACCCUUAAUGGGCCUAGUUAGCCACAGGUUCGUUUCCCCUUCUUUCUAAAAUAGCAUUAAUUUAGGACAUGACAUUUCCUAUGUAAUUAGUGUUGAUUUUGGACAGAUUGUUUCUUGUGCGUAUAUCUGAAAUUGAGUCUAUAAUUACUAGGAGAUUCUAUUUCUUUUGUCAUUAGCCUAUAUAAGUGGUUAGUGCUUGUAUUCCAGGUUGUCAAUAGUGGCUGGAGCAGUUGCCAUUGCGGUGUGGAGCCGCUACAGUGACACCGUUGCAUACAGUUUCAACAUUGCAAGCUGUGACAAACGCUAAUUGGCGGUGUGGAGUGACUGUGAUCACGGGUUUAGGGGUGGUUUUGCGUCUACUAUUUUAUUGGACAUUAAAAUUUUGAAAAUAACCUCACUUAAUCAGGGUGCUUUUGUUCUUUCCACUUUCAUAUCUGAGGUGCGAUUUAUUACCUGGCAGGUAACCCUCAUUUCUGAGGUGUGAUUUAUAUACCUGUCAGGUAACUUCACUUAAAGUCAAUUGAUUUUAAGAAGAAAUCUUGCACUAUCAAAUUAAGUGCCUCAUGAUCCCAAAUCAGAUGCUUACCCAAGGAAACCUAGAAAAUUAGUGUUACAGUCCCAUCAAAGGCUUCUUUGCAAAUUGCAUAUAGAAUUAGCUUCUUUGCUUUCAUUCAAACAACUAAAGGCAAUAACAAAAAAUUGCCAUGAAUACUUAGAUUCUUUAUUUCUAGCUAAUAAAGAACAGAAGCUAAUUUUUCAUAUCAUUCAUUUAAAGUUAUAUUUCAUUUCUUUUAAUUUUCUUCUAUUGAAAUGGGAAAUUUUCUUAUUAUAGAUUAAACUACAAGGUGUGGUUAUUAUUAUAUUGUGAUUGCUUAUCAUUCCCAUAAUAUACUAGUUAUUGGGUGUGAUUUCACAAUAUGGCCUGCAUUUAGCAUAACAAAUAAUCCAUAAAAAACAGAAGCUAAAUUUUUGACACAUUUAUUUAAAGUUAUUUUUCAUGUUUAUCUCUAAUGUUGGUUAUCAGAUUCAUCCUUGAUUAAGUGCCUGUCUCUAUAAGAUUUUACACACUCCAAUUUGGCUUCCUGAGGCAAUUUUUAUGAAUGGAAGUACUUUCUUCCUUUCAGAAAAUGCACAGUGGUGGUAAAAUGAAUCUAAACAAAGCGGAAAGUGUUUGCUUGAGGCCUGACCUGGAAACCUUUAAUGUUUUGUUUUUGUUACUAAAUGAAACAAUAUGUGCAAGGCUAUUAUUUUGCCUUUGUUACGAAUUCUAUUUAGAUAUAUAAAAUGAUGGAUAAAAUGCAAAUAGAACUGUUUAUUUUGAACUUAAAUAAAAACGAGGCUUUCAAUAAUAAAACUGCUGUAUGCUUUAUUAAAGUAGUGACUUCAUUUGUAGUACUGACACUGUCUUUAUCAACCAUUCACCAUACUCUAUAUUGCUUAUGCUGAAAUUGUCUUCAAGAUGUUGAAUUUGAAAUAGAUGACUUGUAAAUAUGGGUUUCAUGUUUGCUGGUUGUGAUGUGUCUGAUGGAUACCAAGCCCCAGACAUGGUUGAAAAUGAAAGACAAGUGGAGAACGCAAGCUCAAACAAACUACCCAUUCCGAUAGUUUACUCCAGCCAUGGGCAUCGGGGCUAUAACUGCCAUGAGGUUGUUAUUGUCAGGAGUAUGGCAAUUAGCAUGAUAGUAAUUUUCAGAAUGUAGAGUGCAAUAGCUGCUAUGAGGUAGUUAUUGUUAGCAGUAUGGAAGUUUUUAUGCUGUAUUAUACAAUAUAGAAAUCAAAAAGUGGGGAAUCAGAUUUGCUAUGUGACUAAGUUUAGGGCAGAAAAUCUCUUGUAAGACGUUUCUGUGGGAGAUUGAUGCUCUGGAUGAGCCUUGGCUCACUAUUUACUGAAUAAACCAUUAUUUGGGUGACAAAGAGGAUGAUCUGUUGUAGAAAAAACUUGAAUUUUGUCUGAAUUGAAAGCAGAAUUUUGUCUAGCAUGGAUGACAAAUUGGGACUCAUGGAGGACUAAAUAGAAAGGUUGGAGGUCAACAUGACAGAGAGGCUUCUAUAUAAAAUGAAAAAGGUAUUGGGCAAACGGACAAAGGAAGAAUACUAGAGUUUCAACCCUGAGAGGGCAGCUCUGCAGGAAUAGUGUCAGAUAAUAAUCGACAUGACUUGGACGAGUAUUGAAUGGUAGUCUAGAAUUGGAGUCUUCAAUGGGGAAGACCUGUGGGAUGGAAUACGAGCUUAAACUUACUUCAAAGUGUAGAAUACAAGUGAAGAUGAGAUGUUAAGUUGGCCAAGUUGAGUAUGGAGUGUUAAUAAGAAUCAUUUUAAGCAGGUCUAGAGUACCUAAGGAGUUAUCUUUAUGCGUGAGGGGAAGAUUGCUAUCAGGUCAUCUCUAAAUAGCCUCAAAGUCGUGUUUGACACUGGAAGCUCGAAUCUUUGGAUCCAUUUUUCCAAACUCCUUAUAUCCUAAGAAUUGAAGAAGGCUGCUCUACUGUCUGCUAAGGCGGUUUUGUAGCUCUGGAAGGGCCUCCGCUACAAGGUCCCCCUCUCGGGUUCUUGGGAGAUUUUUUUCUUGGGAGUUCGUGACUAGGAGUUUUGACUAUGGUAAUCUGCCUAGAGGAUUUGCUGAAGAUUCGUAAUCAUAUUUUGGCGUAAUUACUAUGCUAAAUUUUGUGUAGAAAA